rnacentral:rRNA from 1 species
UACAGGGGGUGCAAACGUUGCUCGGAAUCAUUGGGCGUAAAGCGCACGUAGGCGGUUCGUUAUGUCGGAUGUGAAAGCCCUUGGCUUAACCGAGGAAGUGCAUCCGAAACUGGCGAGCUAGAGUACGAAAGAGGAUCGCGGAAUUCCCGGUGUAGAGGUGAAAUUCGUAGAUAUCGGGAGGAACACCGGUGGCGAAGGCGGCGAUCUGGGUCGAUACUGACGCUGAGGCGCGAAAGCCAGGGGAGCGAACGGG